CCAGAAUCCGCUUGUGGUUCAAGUGGGACAAGGCAUUCUCACUGCCUGGGAGAGAAGAUUAGUGAGUCCGCUGGCAAAGGAUUCAACGCACUCUACACACCACGAAUGGGCCUGGAGACAUGCAUUCACAGGAGGAUGAGGUUUUGUAAUAAAUACGAGCUCAAGAUCAUAUGGCUUCGCCAUGACUGCGUAAUAUUUUACAGCUGCUUCACACGGUGGAAAUAAUAUGUUCAGCAGCUAGUGUGUGUUUUGUCAGAAGCGGCAUUCGCAUACACCAGAGGAACUGUAACCCACAUCCCACCAUCAACUCUCCAGAAAACCCAAGUAAAAAAAAGGACAGAUCAUAGGCAGCGAUAAGGAGAACCAGCACCAUGGCAUGGAGGAGGACACAGGACCUUGAAACCUCUGGAGCUUCCACAACCGCUGCUGUGUAAAGGCAGCAGUGAUACACCACUAAUGCUGCAUCCUCAAAGGCCUUCAAGGAGAGAGCAUACUCCUCCUGUGAGUACAUCGCACCUUUCAUUCCACUGAGUGCAUGGGGAUACCACAGAAGUAUCCCCAUCCUUCUACCAGUGAUGACUGACAUACAUCUAUUAUGUCUAAUUUUUUGCUUUCUUUCCAUGUUCUGUCUCUAAGCAUCCUUGUGUGGCUUGCUAAAUGCUCCCAAAGUCAUGUACCGCCACUGAUAUAUUUUCCAGUUCCUCAGUGCAAACAAUAAAAAGUUUAAAAAAUGCAUCGCUAUUUUUAAUGCCAACUUUCAAUUUCUCUUUCUCAAGGCGAUUGUAAAUGAAUUAGUCCCAAAUAACAGCAGCCAUCUCCCAUUUCAAAAAAGCUUCAUAAGAAACCAUCACCAGCAGCAAUAAAGAAUUUCUGGAUUUUUCUAGCACUUUCAAGAUCAUUGAUGUGGCAAAAAAGGAGAAGCUUGCUUGUAAACUCAGUCUGAGUUCCUUCGGGGCAGCUAAGGGAUGAUGAGAUGAAGACCACUUUGAUUCACUUUAGAAUACAAUCAAUCACAACUUAACAUACAUUAAGGCCGAACUGCAGAACAAGUGUAAAAAGAAGCAAAGCCAUUUUUCUGAUCCAGCACAGCACUCAUGUUACUGGAACUGAGGCUUGCAUUUCUAUCAGCACAUAGAAAGUCUGUUCAGCUGCAGAAGCUCAGCACUGGACACCACUGGUGUGAGCAGAGA